rnacentral:rRNA from 1 species
AGCUCCAAUAGCGUAUAUUAAAGUUGUUGCAGUUAAAAAGCUCGUAGUUGAAUUUCUGUUUUGGAUGUCCGGUCCGUUCCCUUUGGGAGUGUGUACUUAUGGAUGUUCGAGGCAUUUUUUGUGAGGCUGCCUUUCUGCCAUUAAGUUGGUGGGUUGGUGGACUUGCAUCGUUUACUGUGAAAAAAUUAGAGUGUUUAAAGCAGGCGUUUGCUCAUUUGAAUACAUUAGCAUGGAAUAAUAAGAUACGGCCUUGGUGGUCUAUUUUGUUGGUUUGCACACCAAGGUAAUGAUUAAUAGGGACAGUUGGGGGUAUUCAUAUUUCAGCGUCAGAGGUGAAAUUCUUGGAUCGCUGAAAGAUGAGCUUAGGCGAAAGCAUUUACCAAGGAUGUUUUCA